UACGGAGGGCGCAAGCGUUAAUCGGAAUAACUGGGCGUAAAGCGCACGCAGGCGGUUAUGCAAGUCAGAUGUGAAAUCCCAGCGCUUAACGUUGGGCGGUCAUUUGAAACUGCAAGACUAGAGUACUAUAAGGGGAGCUGGAAUUCCAGGUGUAGCGGUGAAAUGCGUAGAUAUCUGGAAGAACACCGGUGGCGAAGGCGAGCUUCUGGAUAGUAACUGACGCUCAGGUGCGAAAGCGUGGGGAG
rnacentral:rRNA from 1 species